UACGAAGGGGGCUAGCGUUGCUCGGAAUCACUGGGCGUAAAGCGCACGUAGGCGGCUUUCUAAGUCAGGGGUGAAAUCCUGGAGCUCAACUCCAGAACUGCCUUUGAUACUGGAGAGCUUGAGUCCGGAAGAGGUGAGUGGAACUCCGAGUGUAGAGGUGAAAUUCGUAGAUAUUCGGAAGAACACCAGUGGCGAAGGCGGCUCACUGGUCCGGUACUGACGCUGAGUGCGCGAAAGCCAGGGGAGCGAACGGG
rnacentral:rRNA from 1 species